AACGAACGCUGGCGGCAUGCCUAACACAUGCAAGUCGAACGAGACCUUCGGGUCUAGUGGCGCACGGGUGCGUAACGCGUGGGAACCUGCCCUUAGGUUCGGAAUAACUCCCCGAAAGGGGUGCUAAUACCUGAUAAUGUCUUCGGACCAAAGAUUUAUCGCCUUUGGAUGGGCCCGCGUUGGAUUAGCUAGUUGGUAGGGUAAAAGCCUACCAAGGCGACGAUCCAUAGCUGGUCUGAGAGGAUGAUCAGCCACACUGGGACUGAGACACGGCCCAGACUCCUACGGGAAGCAGCAGUGGGGAAUAUUGGACAAUGGGCGAAAGCCUGAUCCAGCAAUGCCGCGUGAGUGAUGAAGGCCUUAGGGUUGUAAAGCUCUUUUACCCGGGAUGAUAAUGACAGUACCGGGAGAAUAAGCUCCGGCUAACUCCGUG
rnacentral:rRNA from 1 species